GGUGGUGGUGCCGCUGCUGAGGCCCCCGCCGUUGAGGAAAAGAAGGAAGAGGUGAAGGAAGAAAGUGAUGAUGACAUGGGAUUUGGCUUGUUUGAUUAGUUUUUUUUUUUAUAGUUUGUUCUAGCCAGAUUUUGAGUCUUUAAAUUGAAACUUGUUUUGUUCUAUAAAAUUUUUAUUAUUGAAGAGAUUAUUAGUCAAUUAUCUAUCAUAAUUGUUGAGUUUUGGUGUUUCCUUAAUAUAUUUGUGGCAACUCAAUUUCCAAAUGACUUGUUUAUUUUCC